rnacentral:lncRNA from 10 species
UGAAUACUUCAAUGAGGAGCACAGGCACCAGCUCUGACGGGAGUGACUGAGGGAGCUCCUGGUGAAAUGUGCCAAGGUUGCUGCAGUUGGAGAGGGGGCUCCACCAGCUCCACAUCCUGGGCAGACAGGAACACAGUCUCUUUCUGUAUCACACCCUUGUGCCAGGGCUGAUGACUCUCAGUUCAGGCAGACACUGUCAUCUAACGCCAGGCCACAAUGUCACCGAAAGCCAGGGAAAACACCUGUCCCGUGAUUCUUCACUGGAAUGGCUUCAGCAUGGAAUCUCUUCCCUCAGCUCAAUACAGACAACUUUGUGGCUCUCCUGUUCUCCAGUGUAGGAACACUGCUGCUUCAUAGAGAGAGGGGGAAUGGUUCUGCCUUACAGUACAUGCAGGUGGGAGUCCUCUGUGGUGGUGUCAGGUGAUUGGAUUAGUUCAACCUCAGACCCCAGAGGGAAUGAACAGGUGCCAUCACUGGGCUAGGCAAUCCCCUAAUCCUCAGGUUCCUAAAUGGCUCUCUGGACAAUGUGCAUGAGUCCUGGAGGGACUAAACCAGGACCGGACCAGCAAACAUGUCUUCAAAUUCCCACAGUUCAGGUAUUGGCUGUGAUAGGAAGGGGUGGGCUGGCCCCCAGGCUGCUGGCAGAAUGCUUUGGAAAGGGCAGGCAGACCACUCAGGCAGCUGCGGAAUAUUCCAUCAGCAUGAGCAGUGGAGGCAGGCAGCUACAAGGUGCAUGGCCCACUCAUACCUCCCUCUGGCAUAAACAGUGGUGGAUCUGGUCAUUGUGGCACAUGCAGGUGCUGGUCUCCCUGUUCCCUCCCUACAACUGCUGCUAAUAAGAUGAAAGCAGGAGCCCCAGGGCAGAAUGCAGGCCUCUGAGGGCUAGGCUUUCAAAAGGGUGCUAGGCAACAGCAAAAUGCACAGGCAGGGGUAGCCCUGCUCAGUGAGAGCAGUGAAAGCUAACAGCUGUGGGGCCUUUGGCCCACUCACACCUUCCUCCCACAGAAACAGUGGUGGUAUCCACCACUGAGGUGUGCAAAGGUGUCCUGUCUUCCCACUCCCUCCUUGGCCUGGCAGUGGUGGUGGCAGUUGCAGCAACAGCAGCAGGAUCCCCAGGGCAGACUGCAGGCCUCUGGGGGCUGGGCUCUCAGAAGGGUGCCAGGCCACAGCCAAAAUGCUCAGGCAGAAGCAAGGUGGCUGUACUGUGAGCCUAGGGAAGGCAGGUCCCCCUUAGCGGGAACAGUGAAAGCAAGGGUGCUCAAUGUGCUUGCUCCUCUACCCUGCAGCAGCAGCAGCCGUGAUACACAUCUUUGGGGUGUGCAAAAGUACUUGGCCUCCCCACUCCCUCCCCACUCCCUCCUGGCACUGCAACAGCAGCUGGUACCAGGCUGCAGCGUUUCAGGAAUGAAAAGCCUGUGGAAUUCCAUGUGGGCCGAAGCAGUGCCUCUGCGCAAUCUCCGGGCAAGUUCCCUGUGUUAGACUGGAGGCCCCGGGGGGUUCAGGGAGCUCUCCCAUCGCUAGGAUUGUGAAAAUCCACACUGGGAGUGGGGCCCCAGGGGUUGCUCACUCAGCCCUUCCCCAUGUCAGGGAGCUACUCCUGGCUCCAUACCAAUCCCAGCUCAGCAGGCUGCAUGGCUUCACCUUUCUUUGCUUUCCAUAAUUCCCAUCACUUCUCUGAUGAAUUCCGUUGUGCUCUCUCUUUUAGAUGAUCUAUUCAAAGUGUGAAUAUUUACUAUUUUGAUUCAUCUCCAUGGAAGAGGAACCCACUAGCUGCUUCUAGUCAGCCAUCUUGAACCAGAAGCCCUUAUUUUACUUUUAUUUGUACUUUUUCUUUCAAAAAACUUUUUAAAUAUGUCAUUAAAAUGGUAAAUUUGCAAGUUUAAGUGAAAUCUAGUUUAGAAUUGAUGAAUUGUUAGUGAUGAUAUUCACAUCAUGAAAGUACUCAAUAGCAACUAGCCAAAGACAUUACUUUGAGGCAUGAAAAUAUCCUGUGUCUGUUUCUGCAAUAUAUGUUUAUUUCAGGAUAAAAAAAGAAAUUGUUUCUAUAAUGGAUUUUCACAUGGAACAAGUAAAAUGUUCUUGACUG